UACGUAGGGGGCAAGCGUUGUCCGGAUUUAUUGGGCGUAAAGAGCGUGUAGGCGGUUAGGUGGGUCCGUUGUGAAAACUCGAGGCUCAACCUCGAGACGCCGAUGGAAACCAUCUGACUAGAGUCCGGAAGAGGAGAGUGGAAUUCCUGGUGUAGCGGUGAAAUGCGCAGAUAUCAGGAAGAACACCCGUGGCUAAGGCGGCUCUCUAGUACGUGACUGACGCUGAGACGCGAAAGCGUGGGGAGCGAACAGG
rnacentral:rRNA from 1 species